AGGUUACUGCUAUCGGUGUUCGCCUAAGCCAUGCGAGUCAUAUGUUCUUCGUGAACAUGGCGUACUGCUCAGUAACACGUGGAUAACCUGCCCUUGGGUCCGGCAUAACCCCGGGAAACUGGGGAUAAUUCCGGAUAACGCACAUAUGCUGGAAUGCUUUAUGCGUCAAAUAGAUUCGUCCGCCCAAGGACGGGUCUGCGGCCUAUCAGGUAGUAGUGGGUGUAAUGUACCUACUAGCCUACGACGGGUACGGGUUGUGAGAGCAAGAGCCCGGAGAUGGAUUCUGAGACAUGAAUCCAGGCCCUACGGGGCGCAGCAGGCGCGAAAACUUUACAAUGCGGGAAACCGUGAUAAGGGGACACCGAGUGCCAGCAUCAUAUGUUGGCUGUCCGGGUGUGUAAAAUACACCUGUUAGCAAGGGCCGGGCAAGACCGGUGCCAGCCGCCGCGGUAACACCGGCGGCCCGAGUGGUGAUCGUGAUUAUUGGGUCUAAAGGGUCCGUAGCCGGUUUGGUCAGUCCUCCGGGAAAUCUGACGGCUUAACCGUUAGGCUUUCGGGGGGAUACUGCCAGACUUGGAACCGGGAGAGGUAAGAGGUACUACAGGGGUAGGAGUGAAAUCUUGUAAUCCCUGUGGGACCACCUGUGGCGAAGGCGUCUUACCAGAACGGGUUCGACGGUGAGGGACGAAAGCUGGGGGCACGAACCGGAUUAGAUACCCGGGUAGUCCCAGCCGUAAACGAUGCUCGCUAGGUGUCAGGCAUGGCGCGACCGUGUCUGGUGCCGCAGGGAAGCCGUGAAGCGAGCCACCUGGGAAGUACGGCCGCAAGGCUGAAACUUAA
rnacentral:rRNA from 1 species